ensembl:lncRNA
GGCCUGGGAUCAAAGUAGGCCCUACACCCUAAUGCCUACCCAGAGGGUGGAUUGUUCAGGAAGUCUUCCUGGGGGUAAAAGUGGGUAGGAGCCAGUAAGAUUUAUUAUUGAAUUAUGGUUUUAACUAAUAAUAUUUCUCCGAGAAUAUCUCUAAAACAUAAUUUUCAAGGAAAAUGCAGUGUCAUAUUUCUUCAAUAGCCAUUAUCCUCGGAAGAUUAGCCCUGAGCUAACAUCUGUGCCCAUCUUCCUCUGCUUUAUAUGUGGGACGCCUACCACAGCAUGGCUUGCCACGUGGUGCCACGUCUGCACCUGGGAUGUGAACUGGCGAACCCCAGGCCACUGCAGCAGAACAUGUGCACUUAACCACUGCGCCACCGGGCCAGCCCCACCAAACGUUUUUUGAUGAAAAUCAUGUAAAAUAGAACUUAUCAGAAUUGUUUGUAGGGCACAGACCUUUGUAGGGCAGUACUACAAACAGUGAGUGUAUAAGUAGACAGUGCUGCACAUUCACACAGCCCUGCUGUCAGUGAUAAACACACUCGACCACACUUGAGGGCAGACUGAAUUAUUAUUCCAUUAUAUGUAGAGAAAAUGAUACUGGAACAUCAUCGUCACCUGAAAGGCUCUCAAAGGGUAUACUACCAAAAAUAUGAGAAAAAAGUAUUGUAGAGGUAUUCCAGGCAGUUAAUGGAAAAAUAUAUGGUUAUUCCAGACCUUGUGAUCUUUGUAAUAUUAGUCAACCUUUUAAAAUUGGCAAUUUGCAUGGUUUAUUUUUUCAUUCACUUUUGUAUCUGAUUUUUAUUCUUAAUUUUAAAUCAUUUUUCUUUAAAGAGGACCCCCAAAGUUGUAAAAAUCUUCAGAUACCUCAGAACCUGGAUUUGUCCCUGAGCGCCAACUCUGUGUCAGAUGCGUGCUCUUUCUUAGAGAUACAAUGAUGCUUCAGACCAAGUACUUUUCCUCAGGGAAACAGAUGAGCAAAGCGAGUAUGACAGGGGAAAUCUUUCUAGGGGCAUAUAUACAAGAUGGCCCCCCAUUUUUGUCUAGAAGUUUCCAAGAAGGCUCAUAGAGGAGAUAACUGUCAGUUUGCUCUUCCUCUCCAUCUCCUGUGACCACCGUGACUUCCACAAAAAGACUGUAAUUCAGUAGCUUAUUUGAUAUGUGAGAAAACCUGAAGUUCAUCACACUGUAACUCCCAAAGCAUAAGCACUAUGCUCCUCAGAAGUAUGAGAACAGACUCAAAGUGCUGAUUCCCCAAGCAUUUCAACAAGGAUGCAAGUGUAGUUUAGAAAAUGCUAAGCUUUUUGUUCUGAAAAGUCCACCAGAGGGAUGAACUUCUGUAUAUAUCCUAGAGCACCGUACUUACUAUGUGGCAGGUGGCCCAGGAAUAUUAAGACAGCUGUCAACAUCAAGGAAAGCAUCAGCCCAUGAAAAGCAAGCAGAUGGAUUGGGGCACUUCACUAGCUGCCUCCUAGAAUAAUAGCUGUGUGAGGCCAAAUGAGGUAUUGUCAGGCUGCCCAGGGCAGCAAAAAGCUAUUACUGGAUAUAAGUGCUCAAUUAGGAGAGGGGGCGGGGAAUAUCCUCCCCUUUCCUUUGUUUGUAUAGCUCAAGUUUUCACUAAGAACCACAAUGGUAAAUAAGAAAGGGGGUAAAAAUGAUGUAAGCAUUUCUCAUUUUGUUACUUUCUGAUUAUCAUAGUUUGUAACACGGGAAAAUGCCUCAGUCUUGCUGCUUCAAUGAGAGCAGAUGGUGAAAUUUUUAAGUAAUUGGUUAUUCAGACUUCUUCGGGAUGCAUGAAGUUUUAUUGUAUCAUUUGUCUGGUUUUUAUUUCCAGGACGUGUGGGGACUGAGAUCUUUCAAACACACAUCUUUUAAUGCUUAAAGUAAGAUGUGCUAGUUUGAUCUAAAUUACAUUUACUCUUUUCUUCCCUUGAUAUGAUGAUGACACUUACAAAGAGAAAUGAAUUCUUCACCAAAAUAUAACAGUAACAUUAACAAUUCAAUAUUUACUUCUAAAACUGUGCCAAAUUUGGUAAUACUAAACCAUUGUAUUCUAAAAAGUGUAUAAACAGAGGAAGGAUUUCUUUGGCGAACAUAGAUUAUAAAAUGUAUUCCAAAAUAGUUAUUCACAUUUAUUCAGUUUGUUGUAUCUUUUGAGUCAAAUGCUAUCUAAAAUAGUCAUAUAUAGAAUAUGAACUUUUAUUAAUACAGCUUCAUAAGCAUGACACAGGCAAUGACUCAGAAUAAUAAUUUACUGUUGUAUGAAAGACUGACUUCCUAUAUUCUGUUUCCCCAAAAUGUUUCAUCUGAGUGCAUAAGCUGUGAUCCAUAU